rnacentral:rRNA from 1 species
CCCUUAGAUGUUCUGGGCCGCACGCGUGCUACACUGAGUGGAUCAGCGGGUCAGGUCGCGCGAAAGCGUUUCCUAAUCUUUAAAUCCGCUCGUGAUGGGGAUUGACGGUUGCAAUUUUCUGUCAUGAACGAGGAAUACCUUGUAAGCGCGGGUCAUCAUCCCGCGCUGAAUACGUCCCUGCCCUUUGUACACACCGCCCGUCGCUCCUACCGAUUGAGUGGUCCGGUGAGGCUUUGGGAUCUGAGCGGAAAGAGCGUUUCGCUGUUUCUGCUCGGAAAACUCAGUCGAACCUUAUCAUUUAGAGGAAGGAGAAGUCGUAACA